AUUGAACGCUGGCGGCAUGCCUUACACAUGCAAGUCGAACGGUAACAGGUCUUCGGAUGCUGACGAGUGGCGAACGGGUGAGUAAUACAUCGGAACGUGCCCAAUCGUGGGGGAUAACACAUCGAAAGAUGUGCUAAUACCGCAUAAGAUCUAAGGAUGAAAGCGGGGGAUCUUCGGACCUCGCGCGAAUGGAGCGGCCGAUGGCAGAUUAGGUAGUUGGUGGGGUAAAGCCCACCAAGCCGACGAUCUGUAGCUGGUCUGAGAGGACGACCAGCCACACUGGGACUGAGACACGGCCCAGACUCCUACGGGAGGCAGCAGUGGGGAAUUUUGGACAAUGGGCGCAAGCCUGAUCCAGCAAUGCCACGUGCAGGAUGAAGGCCUUCGGGUUGUAACUGCUUUGUACGGAGCGAAAGGUACUCUUCUAAUACAGGAGGCCCGAUGACGGUACCGUAAGAAUAAG
rnacentral:rRNA from 1 species